GGGGGGGGGGGGGGGGGGGGGGGGGGGGGGGGGGGGGGGGGGGGGGGGGGGGGGGGGGGGGGGGGGGGGGGGGGGGGGGGGCGCGCCUGUUGUUUGUUUCUUCAUCAGCGGAUUAAGAUUCGCGGUCGUUCCCCGCUGCCAUUGGCUGCGCUGUGGUGACGUCGCCUCAUUUGCAUAUGACAUUGAGACGUCACAGCGCUUCCCCCCUUGUCCCGCCGCGACCCCGCCGGCCCGGGGCGAUGCCGGUGCCGGUGGCGAGCGUGGCGCGGGGGACCCGCCCGCGGUGGUCACGCCUGGGUGGUCCCGUGUCCCGCCCGCGCCAGUCGCUGCUGUGGCUUUUCUCGGCAGGAAACGUGUUUCUCCCCCCCGUGAUGUUCAGACGCUUUCCGGGUGCAAAACGUGGCGUUUCGGAAAAGGAAUGUGGAUGUAUAAAUAUAAAUCCUGCCAGCCACUGGCAGAUUUUCCAGGACUGUGUGUGAUGAUAUCAAGCAGCACAAGGUCACAUUUACCCUUGGGGUAAGGACCUUCCUGCAGCAGCAACACAAGAGCCGGCAUGGAUGCAGAGACCAGCUCCAGAAAAAACAUCUCCUCCUCAUUCUGCAGGCUCCCCCUCCUUCAGGCAGGGUCUGGAGGAGCAUGUGGGAACUCCAGUCCCUGCUGAGACCCUGGACUGGCUGAGGAAAGCCCUCCCAGGUUCCUGUCUUGAUCUGCCAUUAAUUAAAAGGUCUCAUGAUGAAGAGAUUUUUUGGAUUUUUCAAGCUGCUCCCUGCCUUCCCCCCCUCCGCUCCCCUGAUCUGCCAUGGAAGAGGCUGUGGCUGUGACUCAGCCUCUGUUUUGCUUGAAUCAGCCUGCCUGUGUUGGCAGCACCUUGGGGUGCAGCUCUGCCCCUGUGCCCAGGGCUCCCCCAAGGGAAUCCCAUCCCAAUGGGCCUGCUGGCAAAGCGAUGGGAUCAGCUGGACCUGUGGCACACUUGUUGUGGGAGCAAGCGUGUUAAUUCAGCCCUGCCCAACCGUCCCAGGCG
rnacentral:lncRNA from 1 species